rfam:Hordeum vulgare subsp. vulgare, WGS project CAJW01000000 data, contig: morex_contig_1484398
GUUCUGGGCCGCACGCGCGCUACACUGAUGUAUUCAACGAGUAUAUAGCCUUGGCCGACAGGCCCGGGUAAUCUUGGGAAAUUUCAUCGUGAUGGGGAUAGAUCAUUGCGUGUGUUGGUCUUCAACGAGGAAUGCCUAGUAAGCGCGAGUCAUCAGCUCGCGUUGACUACGUCCCUGCCCUUUGUACACACCGCCCGUCGCUCCUACCGAUUGAAUGGUCCGGUGAAGUGUUCGGAUCGCGGCGACGGGGGCGG